UGUUCUUCUCAUAUAUUUUAUGAUAGUAUAAUACUAAACCCCUAACGGGAGGGAUUGUGCCUGAUAUUCAUAUGAUGAAGACAUAAUCUUUCAAUCAGUUUAAUUUGAGGUCUGGAGCUGGCAUGUCAGUUAACUGCUAGUAGUCUGUUGUUAUUUAUGUAUUAUUGUCAUUUUAUUUAUUUUCUUUUGUUACAUCUUUUGACAUCGGACUCGGACUUCUCUUAAACUGAAUUUUAACGUGCGUAUUGUUAUGCGUUUACUUUUCUACAUUGGCUAGAGGUAUAGGGGGAGGGUUGAGAUUUCAUAAACAUGUUUAACACCGCCGCAAUUUUGCGCCUGUCCCAAGUCAGGAGCCUCUGGCCUUUGUUAGUCUUGUAUGAUUUUUAAUUUUAGUUUCUUGUGUAUAAUUCGGAGUUUAGUAUGACGUCCAUUAUCACUGUACUAGUCUACAUAUUUUUAGGGGCAAGCUGAAGGUCACCUACGGGU
rnacentral:lncRNA from 1 species